AAAUGGCAUUCCAUGUUGAAUUAACACCUUUUUGCAUGUUAACAUCCCACAAAACUGUGCACCCUAGUGUACACAGCCCAAAUUGCAUAUGCACAAAAGUAAACAUACUAAAUGAACAAUGCAUGCUAAUUUACACAUUGGAAAUAAUGCAAUCUUCAGUGUGCACCUUUAGUAAAUCAGCAUGCACUUUUUUGUGAGUGCUAUGGUGUUUGUGCAUGCUUUAACGUGCAAGCCUUUAGUAAAUCAGGCCCUAUGACUCUUGCAAAAAGAAAAUAAAACCUUCUCAGUUUCUAUUGCUUUAAGUGUGAAAUAUGGGUGGAAUGCAUCCAAACCACACUGUGAAAAACAUUGCAAGCUCAGCCACGACUUUUAAAUAUAUAAAUGAUAUCACAUUUUGCAAGAAUGUAGUCCCUGAUUCUAUUGCUAUGCUCCAUAAAGAGUGCUCUAUGAUCACACCUGGAGAAAAA